rnacentral:ribozyme from 1 species
GGGACUGGCUGCGAAUACACACGAAUCCACGAAUCCAUGAAAAAAACGAAAAACACAAAAUGAAAAGUAAGUCAUAUUUGUAUUACUUCAUUAUUGUCCCAUUGUUACUAUUGUCACUUACCCUCAUAAUUGAGUCACCCUCAUGAUGUUACAUACUUCAUAAGCGGGUUCAAGGUGGGAGCACCUGUGACUACACACAAAUAAACGAAUGCAUGAAUCCAUGA